rnacentral:ncRNA from 2 species
AAUAUACUAGAAGCGCCAGAACCCCGAUGGGGUUGACGAGGAGAGGGAGUAUCGAAGAUUCGGCGGAUGCCCUCCGGCCCAGUUACGGCCGAUAACGCAGCAUAAAACCCAAGAGGUAACCCUGGGUACAAAAACUGCAGGUAACUAA